rnacentral:lncRNA from 1 species
CAACAAUUCUAGGAGUCAGGUUCAAUUGUUAUUGCCAUUUGAUAGAUGAUGAGGGCAAUGAGUCUUAGAGAGGUUAAAUAAUUUGCUAAAGGCCACACAGCCUGUAAAGUGGCAGAAGCUGGGACCAUCCAACUCUAAAGCCCACAUUCUUAGACAUUAGGGGAUAUUGAAUGAAGUGUGUGUAUGUAUGGGGGAAUUUAAGAGAAUAUCAAACCAUUUGUAGAGUUCUACCCAAUAUAGAGACCUUAUCUAAUGUAAGAGAACUCUGAAGACAUCUCAUUGAUUGAAUGCUCUCCCCUUCAUAGCAACUUCUUCUGCGGCUUCCUUGCCUGGUGCUCCAGUCUUUGAGGGAAGCACGGCUGGCACGUUCUUCCGUUUGGAGACAUGGUUGACAAUUUCUCCAUAAUGGGGACACAACUGGCAAUUUUCCUACAGAGUGAGGCAGAUGGCAAUUUUCCUUCAGAGACAUGCAGGCAACAGUUUUGCCCCUGGAGAGAAAAGCCUCGCCGAUUGAGAUGCAGCCAGUAAUUUUUACUAUACAGAAGACACAUCCAAUAAUUUUGCCCAGUGAGAGAAACGGCCAACAAUUUUCCCACAGAGGACAGGAAAAACAGACCAAAAAUUCAUAGUGGGGAGAAGUGAGGAGCAAAUGGGCUGGUAUGACCAAGAAAGACUUAAUAAGAAGCUGAGCCUUAAAUGAUCAAGAAGCACUGGAUAGAUAAGAGGAAUAAUCAUUUAUUAGCCAAGCGGGACUGGUGCCUUUUUGAGAACUGUCAUUCUGGAAAGAUAUUGAUUGAAGGAGGCCUCUGAGCACAUUCUCUCCAGCAGGCAGCCGUAAGGGAGGCGGCUGCAGUCCAGACAAGAUGAUGAGUUGGCAGUGAGCAUCUCGACAGGAGCCUAAUGAAGAAAUCUGGUAGCUUUGUGCAGUUACUCCAAGAGAAGCCCGAACUCCCUGGGGAGCCUCUGCCCAGGUGGAAGAGCUCUCGAGUGGCUAUUAUUAGGGGUGAUUGCUGGGAAGCUGGUUGCCAUGGCACCGCAGAGGCCAGUGCUGAACUCCCAAGCUGCCCCGUUUCCAAGGCUGUCUACAUAAUCACUGCAAUGAGAGGCACAGGCACAGAAAGGGAGAGAGGAGCAGCUCCCCACUGACAGUGAUCUCCCUGCAGAGCAAGGUUCCUGGAGUUUGCAAACAUCGAGUAGUGAUAGUCUUCCAUCUGCCAGGCACUGCGCUAAACUCUUUAUGGAGACAAAGAAAUGAUGCUCAGAGAGUCAUUUGCCCUUGGUCACAGGCUAAGAAGAGGCAGAGCUAGGACGUAAACCCAACUCUGGCUCUAUGGCAUCUCAUAUAGCAUCAUUUUUCCUCCAGUCCUCUGACUAGAAAGGGUGGCCCCUUCAACCUGGUGCUGAGAACAGACACUGGCGGCCCCACACCUCUGAAGGCAUGGUUCCAGCAAAUAGAAAUUGGACUGGCAAGGAUUAAACCGCUGGUUUGGGCUUCAUUAGCUAUGUGAUCUCACCAACCACAGAGAAUUAACCAGAGUGGAGCCAUCUCUUUACAGACUUAACACAAUGUACCGAGGCAAUGUGGAGAACAGUCACUGAAUUUAUUGAGCACCUACUACCUGCUCCAGACAUGCCAUUAACACGUGGGCUAUCCUUCCCUUCCACAGUCACUCUAGAACUUGAGGCCACUGUCCUCUGAUGCAGAGAGAAGAAACAUUUUAUAAUCACUGUAGACAAUAAAGGCUUUAUCUGUUAGCAAGCACUUUUGCUUAAUGACUUGGUCAUGGGGAAGGAGAGACAGGUUGUACUUGGUCCUCAUUUUGCACUUGGUUAGAGAGUAAGAGGCCUUUCCAUCUCCACUGCUGCUCAGGUACUUCCUCCCAGUGUACUCUAGCACUCCCCCAGCAGGUUCUGUAGAAACACAGACCCCAAGGCCUGGGCAGACUCUACCAGAAAAAUACUUGUGUUCCUCUGUGCUCUGCCUAGUACAUGGCUUCCCUGGCUACCUCUCCUACAGGCCUGGGGAGGCAAAGAUGGGAAGUGUUUGUAGGUAUUAUCUACUGACAACAUUCAACUUUAGACCUCGGUUCAAGCCCCCUCUACCUUUGCCUAGAUCUUUGACUUUGUGUAAACAACAUGCUUUUUCUGGGCCCAAUUUUCUCAUCUGUAACUCCAAGUUUAUGAAUUGUUUUGAUAAUAAAAUACUAAAAAAUAUUGAGUGUUUGCUGUGGACCAGACAUUUCAUUGAAUCUGCACAACAAUCCAGUAAUGCAUGUGCCAUUAUUGUCCCCAUUUUAUAGAGGUGGAUACUUAGCUGUACAGAGGGUAAAUCCAAGGAGUUAAGUCCAAGUUACCCACACCUGGGCUUGUCUGACCCCAGAACCAGCACUAUUGACCACUAUGAUAUACAGCCUCUUUCUAUCUUCAUUAAAGCCAAGUUUCCAAGCCACAGGAAUCUCAC